rnacentral:rRNA from 1 species
ACCGGCAGCUCAAGUGGUGGCCAUUUUUAUUGGGCCUAAAGCGUUCGUAGCCGGUUUGAUAAGUCUCUGGUGAAAUCUCGCAGCUUAACUGUGGGACUUGCUGGAGAUACUAUUAGACUUGAGGUCGGGAGAGGUUAGUGGUACUCCCAGUGUAUUUUGGAAAGCGUUUAUUUUUGGGAGGAUUAUUGUGGGCGAAGGCUUCCAACUGGAACGAACCUGACGGUGAGUAACGCGUGCCAGGGGCGCGAACCG